rnacentral:rRNA from 1 species
AACGAACGCUGGCGGCAGGCUUUACACAUGCAAGUCGAGCGCCCCGCCAGGGGAGCGGCAGACGGGUGAGUAACGCGUGGGAAUCUACCCAUUUCUACGGAAUAACGCAUGGAAACGUGUGCUAAUAUCGUAUAGGUCCUUCGGGCGAAAGUGUUAUCGGAGAUGGAUGAGCUCGCGUUGGAUGAGCUAGUUGGGGGGGUGAAGGACUACCAAGGCGACGGUCCAUAGCUGGGCUGAGAGGAUGAUAAGGCACACUGGGACUGAGACACGGACCAGACUCCUACGGUAGGCAGCAGUGGGAAAUAUUGGACAAUGGGCGCAAGCCUGAUCCAUCCAUGCCGCGUGAGUGAUGAAGGCCCUAGGGUUGUAAAGCUCUUUCACCAGUGAAGAUAAUGACGGUAACCGGAGAAGAAGCCCCGGCUAACUUCGUGCCAGCCGCCGCGGUAAUAC